rnacentral:rRNA from 1 species
GAACGGGUGAGUAAUACAUAAAUAAUCUACCAUAAUGACUGGGAUAACCAAUGGAAACGCUGGCUAAUACCGGAUAGGUAAAACGAGGGCAUCUUUGUUUUAUUAAAGUAGGGCUACUACACAAUAUGAUGAGUUUAUGGCGCAUUAGCUAGUUGGUGAGGUAACGGCUCACCAAGGCGAUGAUGCGUAGCCGACCUGAGAGGGUGACCGGCCACACUGGGACUGAGACACGGCCCAGACUCCUACGGGAGGCAGCAGUAGGGAAUUUUCGGCAAUGGGCGCAAGCCUGACCGAGCAACGCCGCGUGAGUGAAGAAGGCCUUCGGGUUGUAAAGCUCUGUUGUAAGGGAAGAACACUUUUUAGAGGAAAUGCUAGAGAGCUGACGGUACCUUACCAGAAAGCCACGGCUAACUACGUGCCAGCAGCCGCGGUAAUACGUAGGUGGCGAGCGUUGUCCGGAAUUAUUGGGCGUAAAGGGUGCGUAGGCGGUUUAUUAAGUCUGUGGUGAAAGUGCGGGGCUCAACCCCGUAUGGCCACAGAAACUGAUAGACUAGAGUACAGGAGAGGGCAGUGGAAUUCCAUGUGUAGCGGUAAAAUGCGUAGAUAUAUGGAGGAACACCGGUGGCGAAGGCGGCUGCCUGGCCUGUAACUGACGCUGAGGCACGAAAGCGUGGGGAG